AGAGGUCAGCCACCAUCAGGGAGAAAGAGGCGAAGGGACAGGGACGAUGAGCUGAUGGACCUGAUCAGAGAGGACAUGAGACAGCAGAGAGAGGACAUGAGACAGCAGAGAGAGGACAUGAGGCAGCAGAGAGAGGACAUGAGACAGC